rnacentral:rRNA from 1 species
GAUGAACGCACAAGACGUGCCUAACACAUGCAAAUCGAAUGAAAACAAUAUUGUUUUCAUGGUGAACGGGUGAGUAACACAUAAGAAUCAGCUUUUAGAUAAGGCAUAAAAGAGUAAUAUCUUGGUAAUUCCUUAUAUGCGCAGCAGUGCUUAAAAAGGGGAGUCCCGUCUAAAAACGAGCUUAUGCCUGAUUAGCUAGUUGGCGAGUUAAAAGCUCCCCAAGGCGAAGAUCAGUAGCUGGCCUGAGAGGGCGGCCAGCCACAUUGGGACUGAGACACGG